UAUACCGAUUUUUAUUUUUCU
rnacentral:piRNA from 1 species